ACGUACACUCCUGCGGGAGGCAGCAGUGGGGAAUUUUGGACAAUGGGCGAAAGCCUGAUCCAGCCAUGCCGCGUGCAGGAUGAAGGCCUUCGGGUUGUAAACUGCUUUUGUACGGAACGAAACGGCCUUUUCUAAUAAAGAGGGCUAAUGACGGUACCGUAAGAAUAAGCACCGGCUAACUACGUGCCAGCAGCCGCGGUAAUACGUAGGGUGCAAGCGUUAAUCGGAAUUACUGGGCGUAAAGCGUGCGCAGGCGGUUAUGUAAGACAGUUGUGAAAUCCCCGGGCUCAACCUGGGAACUGCAUCUGUGACUGCAUAGCUAGAGUACGGUAGAGGGGGAUGGAAUUCCGCGUGUAGCAGUGAAAUGCGUAGAUAUGCGGAGGAACACCGAUGGCGAAGGCAAUCCCCUGGACCUGUACUGACGCUCAUGCACGAAAGCGUGGGGAGCAAACAGGAUUAGAUACCCUAGUAGUCC
rnacentral:rRNA from 1 species